UACGUAGGGUGCAAGCGUUGUCCGGAAUUAUUGGGCGUAAAGGGCUCGUAGGCGGUCCAUCGCGUCGGGAGUGAAAAGCUGGGGCUUAACCCCAGUCCUGCUUCCGAUACGGGUGGACUAGAGGUAGGUAGGGGAGAACGGAAUUCCUGGUGUAGCGGUGAAAUGCGCAGAUAUCAGGAGGAACACCGAUGGCGAAGGCAGCCCCCUGGGCUGACACUGACGCUCAGGCACGAAAGCGUGGGGAGCAAACAGG
rnacentral:rRNA from 1 species